rnacentral:rRNA from 1 species
UACGGAGGGUGCGAGCGUUGUCCGGAUUUAUUGGGUUUAAAGGGUGCGUAGGUGGCUGAUUAAGUCAGUGGUGAAAUACAGCCGCUCAACGGUUGAGGUGCCAUUGAUACUGAAUAGCUUGAAAUAAUUGGAGGCUGCCGGAAUGGAUGGUGUAGCGGUGAAAUGCAUAGAUAUCAUCCAGAACACCGAUUGCGAAGGCAGGUGGCUACGAUUUAUUUGACACUGAGGCACGAAAGCAUGGGGAGCAAACAGG